GGGACCGGUAACGAUGUCGACUUGGAGGUUGUUCCCUUGAGGAGUGGCUUCCGGAGCUAACGCGUUAAGUCGACCGCCUGGGGAGUACGGCCGCAAGGUUAAAACUCAAAUGAAUUGACGGGGGCCCGCACAAGCGGUGGAGCAUGUGGUUUAAUUCGAUGCAACGCGAAGAACCUUACCUACUCUUGACAUCCAGGGAAUUUGGCAGAGAUGCUUUGGUGCCUUCGGGAACCCUGAGACAGGUGCUGCAUGGCUGUCGUCAGCUCGUGUUGUGAAAUGUUGGGUUAAGUCCCGCAACGAGCGCAACCCUUAUCCUUUGUUGCCAGCGAUUCGGUCGGGAACUCAAAGGAGACUGCCGGUGAUAAACCGGAGGAAGGUGGGGAUGACGUCAAGUCAUCAUGGCCCUUACGAGUAGGGCUACACACGUGCUACAAUGGCGCAUACAAAGAGAAGCGACCUCGCGAGAGCAAGCGGACCUCACAAAGUGCGUCGUAGUCCGGAUCGGAGUCUGCAACUCGACUCCGUGAAGUCGGAAUCGCUAGUAAUCGUGGAUCAGAAUGCCACGGUGAAUACGUUCCCGGGCCUUGUACACACCGCCCGUCACACCAUGGGAGUGGGUUGCAAAAGAAGUAGGUAGCUUAACCUUCGGGAGGGCGCUUACCACUUUGUGAUUCAUGACUGGGGUGAAGUCGUAAAAAGGUAGCCUAA
rnacentral:rRNA from 1 species